rnacentral:rRNA from 1 species
GACGAACGCUGGCGGCGUGCCUAAUACAUGCAAGUAGAACGCACAGUUUAUACCGUAGCUUGCUACACCAUAAACUGUGAGUUGCGAACGGGUGAGUAACGCGUAGGUAACCUGCCUGGUAGCGGGGGAUAACUAUUGGAAACGAUAGCUAAUACCGCAUAAUAUUAAUUAUUGCAUGAUAAUUGAUUGAAAGAUGCAAUUGCAUCACUACCAGAUGGACCUGCGUUGUAUUAGCUAGUAGGUGAGGUAACGGCUCACCUAGGCGACGAUACAUAGCCGACCUGAGAGGGUGAUCGGCCACACUGGGACUGAGACACGGCCCAGACUCCUACGGGAGGCAGCCGUAGGGCAUCUUCGGCAAUGGACGAAAGUCUGACCGAGCAACGCCGCGUGAGUGAAGAAGGUUUUCGGAUCGUAAAGCUCUGUUGUAAGAGAAGAACGGGUGUGAGAGUGGAAAGUUCACACUGUGACGGUAUCUUACCAGAAAGGGACGGCUAACUACGUG